rnacentral:tRNA from 1 species
GGGGAUGUAGCUCAGUUGGUUAGAGCGCCGGCCUGUCACGUCGGAGGUCGCGGGUUCGAGUCCCGUCGUUCCCG